rnacentral:rRNA from 1 species
GACGGAGGGUGCUAGCGUUGUUCGGAAUCACUGGGCGUAAAGGGCGCGUAGGCGGCUUUUGGUGUCGGCUGUGAAAGCCCGGGGCUCAACUCCGGAGGUGCAGCCGAAACUCAAAGGCUGGAGGCCGGAAGAGGAGGGUGGAAUACCCAGUGUAGAGGUGAAAUUCGUAGAUAUUGGGUGGAACACCGGUGGCGAAAGCGGCUCUCUGGUCCGGUCCUGACGCUGAGGCGCGAAAGCGUGGGGAGCAAUCAGG